AGAGUUUGAUCCUGGCUCAGAUUGAACGCUGGCGGUAUGCCUUACACAUGCAAGUCGAACGGUAGAGGGGCAACCCUUGAGAGUGGCGAACGGGUGAGUAAUACAUCGGAACGUGCCCAGUCGUGGGGGAUAACGUAGCGAAAGCUACGCUAAUACCGCAUACGACCCGAGGGUGAAAGCGGGGGAUCGCAAGACCUCGCGCGAUUGGAGCGGCCGAUGGCAGAUUAGGUAGUUGGUGGGGUAAAGGCCUACCAAGCCUGCGAUCUGUAGCUGGUCUGAGAGGACGACCAGCCACACUGGGACUGAGACACGGCCCAGACUCCUACGGGAGGCAGCAGUGGGGAAUUUUGGACAAUGGGCGAAAGCCUGAUCCAGCCAUACCGCGUGCGGGAAGAAGGCCUUCGGGUUGUAAACCGCUUUUGUCAGGGAAGAAAUCUUCUGGGCUAAUACCUCGGGAGGAUGACGGUACCUGAAGAAUAAGCACCGGCUAACUACGUGCCAGCAGCCGCGGUAAUACGUAGGGUGCAAGCGUUAAUCGGAAUUACUGGGCGUAAAGCGUGCGCAGGCGGUUCCAUAAGACAGAUGUGAAAUCCCCGGGCUCAACCUGGGAACUGCAUUUGUGACUGUGGAGCUAGAGUACGGUAGAGGGGGAUGGAAUUCCGCGUGUAGCAGUGAAAUGCGUAGAUAUGCGGAGGAACACCAAUGGCGAAGGCAAUCCCCUGGACCUGUACUGACGCUCAUGCACGAAAGCGUGGGGAGCAAACAGGAUUAGAUACCCCGGUAGU
rnacentral:rRNA from 1 species